GAUGAACGCUGGCGGCGUGCCUAACACAUGCAAGUCGAACGAACCUGAUCUUCGGAAAAGGUUAGUGGCGCACGGGUGAGUAACACGUAGGUGACCUGCCCUGGAGUGGGGGAUAACUUCUCGAAAGAGAGGCUAAUACCGCAUACGCUCGGCCAUUCAGUUGGUCGAGUAAAGCUCCGGCGCUCCAGGAGGGGCCUGCGUCCGAUUAGCUAGUUGGUGAGGUAAUGGCUCACCAAGGCGAUGAUCGGUAGCUGGUCUGAGAGGACGAUCAGCCACACUGGCACUGACACACGGGCCAGACUCCUACGGGAGGCAGCAGUGAGGAAUAUUGGUCAAUGGGCGAAAGCCUGAACCAGCAACGCCGCGUGAGGGAUGAAGGCCUUCGGGUCGUAAACCUCUUUUCUGGGAGAAGAGACAAGGACGGUAUCCCAGGAAUAAGUCUCGGCUAACUACGUGCCAGCCGCCGCAGUAAGAC
rnacentral:rRNA from 1 species